rnacentral:rRNA from 1 species
GAUAAAAGCUACCCUGGGGAUAACAGGCUUAUCUCCCCCAAGAGUCCACAUCGACGGGGAGGUUUGGCACCUCGAUGUCGGCUCAUCACAUCCUGGGGCUGUAGUAGGUCCCAAGGGUUGGGCUGUUCGCCCAUUAAAGUGGUACGCGAGCUGGGUUCAGAACGUCGUGAGACAGUUCGGUCCCUAUCCGUCGCAGGCGUAGGAAAUUUGAGAAGACCUGUCCUUAGUACGAGAGGACCGGGAUGGACGUACCUCUGGUGUACCAGUUGUUCUGCCAAGGGCAUGGCUGGGUAGCUAUGUACGGAAUGGAUAAGCGCUGAAAGCAUCUAAGCGCGAAGCCAACUUCAAGAUAAGAUUUCCCACCGCAAGGGUAAGACCCCAGAAAGACUAUCUGGUUGAUAGGUCGAAGGUGUAAGUGCAGCAAUGUAUUUAGCUUAUCGAUACUAAUAGGUCGAGGACUUGACCAAU